rnacentral:tRNA from 1 species
GCCUGUGUGGUGGAAAUGGUAGACACGCCUGACUUAGGAUCAGGUGCGCAAGCAUGAGGGUUCGAGUCCCUCCAUGGGCA